rnacentral:rRNA from 1 species
AUUCCAAUCGAACCCGGAGAUAGCUGGUUCUCCCCGAAAUAGCUUUAGGGCUAGCGUCGAGGUAGAGAGUUGCGUGAAGGUAGAGCACUGAAUAUGUGAUGGCCCCAUCUCGGGGUACUGAGCAUAAUCAAACUGCGAAUGUCACGGAAACAUACUCGGCAGUCAGACAGCGGGUGAUAAGGUCCGUUGUCAAGAGGGAAACAGCCCAGACCAUCAGCUAAGGUCCCAAAAUGUAUGCUAAGUGGAAAAGGAUGUGGAGAUGUACAGACAACUAGGAGGUUGGCUCAGAAGCAGCCAUCCUUUAAAGAGUGCGUAACAGCUCACUAGUCGAAUGACUCUGCGCCGAUAAUUUACCGGGGCUAAGCAUACUACCGAAGCUAUGGAUCCCAAGGGAUGGUAGGGGAGCGUUCCAUGAACGGAGAAGCGCGAUCGAGAGGACGCGUGGAGAUCAUGGAAGAGAGAAUGCCGGUGUGAGUAGCGGAACGUGGGUGAGAAUCCCACGCACCGAAAACCCAAGGUUUCCAGAGGAAGGUUCGUCCGCUCUGGGUAAGUCGGGACCUAAGGCGAGGCCGAGAGGCGUAGUCGAUGGACAACAGGUAGAGAUUCCUGUACUCAUAUAUAUGUGAAGGAAUGACGGAGAGAGGAAGCUGCAGCCAGCGGCUGGAAGAGCUGGUGCAAGCGAGAUAUCGGGAUGGCAGGCAAAUCCACCAUCCGAAACGAGAAGGCGUGAAGCGUACGGAAAGCUACGGCGAGUACGGAAGGCAGUGGAGGAACUUCCAAGAAAAGUUUCUAACGAAAGUAUAUGUGACCCGUACCGAAAAUGGACACACAUGGGUGAGGAGAGAAUCCUAAGGUGAGCGAGAGAACUAUAGCUAAGGAACUCUGCAAAAUGACUCCGUAACUUAGGGAGAAGGAGUGCUCAUAGAGAUAUGAGCCGCAGUGAAACGGCCCAAGCGACUGUUUACCAAAAACACAGCUCUCUGCUAAGCCGCAAGGCGAAGUAUAGGGGGUGACGCCUGCCCGGUGCUGGAAGGUUAAGGGGAGGGGUUAACGCAAGUGAAGCCCUGAACUGAAGCCCCAGUAAACGGCGGCCGUAACUAUAACGGUCCUAAGGUAGCGAAAUUCCUUGUCAGGU